AUUGAACGCUGGCGGCAGGCCUAACACAUGCAAGUCGAACGGUAACAGGAAGAAGCUUGCUUCUUUGCUGACGAGUGGCGGACGGGUGAGUAAUGUCUGGGAAACUGCCUGAUGGAGGGGGAUAACUACUGGAAACGGUAGCUAAUACCGCAUAACGUCGCAAAACCAAAGAGGGGGACCUUCGGGCCUCUUGCCAUCGGAUGUGCCCAGAUGGGAUUAGCUAGUAGGUGGGGUAACGGCUCACCUAGGCGACGAUCCCUAGCUGGUCUUAGAGGAUGACCAGCCACACUGGAACUGAGACACGGUCCAGACUCCUACGGGAGGCAGCAGUGGGGAAUAUUGCACAAUGGGCGCAAGCCUGAUGCAGCCAUGCCGCGUGUAUGAAGAAGGCCUUCGGGUUGUAAAGUACUUUCAGCGGGGAGGAAGGGAGUAAAGUUAAUACCUUUGCUCAUUGACGUUACCCGCAGAAGAAGCACCGGCUAACUCCGUG
rnacentral:rRNA from 1 species